rnacentral:rRNA from 1 species
GAUGAACGCUGGCGGCGUGCUUAACACAUGCAAGUCGAACGGAGUUCCUUGGAUAGAGGUUUCGGCCAAUUGAAUUGGAACUUAGUGGCGGACUGGUGAGUAACGCGUGAGGAACCUGCCUUUCAGAGGGGGGACAACAGUUGGAAACGACUGCUAAUACCGCAUGACACAUUCGGAUCGCAUGGUAGAAGUAUCAAAGCUACGGCGGUACAGGAUGGACCCGCGUCUGAUUAGCUAGUUGGUGGGGUAACGGCUCACCAAGGCGACGAUCAGUAGCCGGUCUGAGAGGAUGAACGGCCACAUUGGGACUGAGAUACGGCCCAGACUCCUACGGGAGGCAGCAGUGGGGAAUAUUGGGCAAUGGGGGAAACCCUGACCCAGCAACGCCGCGUGAAGGAAGAAGGCUUUCGGGUUGUAAACUUCUUUUAGCAGGGACGAAGGACGUGACGGUACCUGCAGAAAAAGCAACGGCUAACUACCGUGCC